CUUCAACACCGAGUUUGCAUGGCAAACUCGGUUAUUUAUUGCGCUUUCUCAACCGGUGGUUUGCGAAAGCGCUGCUAAAAACUUUUUCGGAAGCUCAAGCUUCCUGCAAAAGUUUUUAUAGGA
rfam:Treponema maltophilum ATCC 51939 genomic scaffold aczIZ-supercont-complete, whole genome shotgun sequence.